GACGAACGCUGGCGGCGUGCCUAAUACAUGCAAGUCGAACGCUUUUUCUUUCACCGGAGCUUGCUCCACCGAAAGAAAAAGAGUGGCGAACGGGUGAGUAACACGUGGGUAACCUGCCCAUCAGAAGGGGAUAACACUUGGAAACAGGUGCUAAUACCGUAUAACACUAUUUACCGCAUGGAAGAAAGUUGAAAGGCGCUUUUGCGUCACUGAUGGAUGGACCCGGGGUGCAUUAGCUAGUUGGUGAGGUAACGGCUCACCAAGGCAACGAUGCAUAGCCGACCUGAGAGGGUGAUCGGCCACACUGGGACUGAGACACGGCCCAGACUCCUACGGGAGGCAGCAGUAGGGAAUCUUCGGCAAUGGACGAAAGUCUGACCGAGCAACGCCGCGUGAGUGAAGAAGGUUUUCGGAUCGUAAAACUCUGUUGUUAGAGAAGAACAAGGAUGAGAGUAGAACGUUCAUCCCUUGACGGUAUCUAACCAGAAAGCCACGGCUAACUACGUGCCAGCCGCCGCUGUAA
rnacentral:rRNA from 1 species